UGGUAGCGGUAAGGUUUAAGCACGCGGGGUGUUUGAUGUGCGUGAAGUGUCUGAGUUUAGCGUGUUAGGACGCAUGCAAGCCGCGUGGGUGUGCGUGUAAGUCCCGAGUGUGAGUGUGCAAGACGAGUGCGUGCCCGCGUGCCGAACCGACCCCUUCCUGACUCUUUCCCCCCCUACACUCUGAUCUUAUUUGAUCGGGUCGCGCUCCCGCCUCGCCGGCCCGGCCCGAGAUGAGAAGCUCUCCUCCCGCGAAGCCCCGGCCCACCCGGGCCAAGGCGCUGUGCGGCGAGGCCCAUGCGAACAGGCGGCGGCCGCUCCCGGGCUUCCCGAGCCGACCCUUCCGGGGGUCGGCCCGGCCGGGCGCUCAGAAGUGAUGAGUUGAUCAGAUAGACGAGGCGGGGCUAGCCCCUGCCCUUGAGUAUCGAGGCGAUUCUGAUCUGA